ACCAGCCACUAGAUGAUGUUGCUCCUAGGC
rnacentral:piRNA from 1 species